rnacentral:lncRNA from 1 species
GCAGCGAACCGGAGGAAAUCCCUUCACCAGGGUAGCACAGGUAUUUAAUGCCGCGCUGCAUAAACACCACGUAAAAGCUCCUUCGGACAGCUCACUUCUUUACGAAGUCGACUUCAAAGGCUCUGCGAUACAAGGAAGUCGUAAGAUUCUCCACAGUGACGAGUUCAGGUAAAGAGCUCGCUUUGUCUAGAUCAAAAACAUUAAAGCCCCGGUUUUGACAGAUACCUUGACAAAGCAGCAACGGAGAUCGACAGUGAUACAGUGGCUGGAACCAGCGAGAAAAAUCCAUGGCGACUCUGCACGAUCACACAAGUCGAGGAGGUAAAAUGCAUCCUAAGAAUUCUCCCUAUCUGGGCCAGUAGCAUCCUCUUCUCCACCCUCUACACGCAAAUGAGUACCUUGUUCGUGGAGCAAGGCGCCACCAUGAACACCCACGUCGCGGGCUUUAAAAUCCCGCCAGCGUCCCUUUCCACUUUCACCAUGAUCAGCGUUCUCCUCUCGGCCCCUACAUACGAGUACGUGGUAGUUCCACUAGGACGAAAGAUCACAGGAAAUAAAAGAGGACUUACGAGCCUCCAGCGGAUGGGAGCUGGAUUGAUCGUCGUCACGGUGGCAAUGAUCUUCGCGGCACUGGUGGAGAUCUUCCGCCUCAAGUCCGCAAGAGCCC